rnacentral:rRNA from 1 species
UACGUAGGGUGCAAGCGUUGUCCGGAAUUAUUGGGCGUAAAGAGCUCGUAGGCGGUUUGUCGCGUCGAAUGUGAAAACCCGGGGCUCAACCCCGGGCCUGCAUUCGAUACGGGCAGACUAGAGUUCGGUAGGGGAGUCUGGAAUUCCUGGUGUAGCGGUGAAAUGCGCAGAGUAUCAGGAGGAACACCGGUGGCGAAGGCGGGACUCUGGGCCGAUACUGACGCUGAGGAGCGAAAGCGUGGGGAGCAAACAGG